AAUAGGAGAGUGACAAAUUAAAUUUUUUCUCCUAAUUUCAGCUUUUUCCUCAUUAAAAAAAAUCAAAUUCAACUAAAAAUGCUAAAAAUCAAGAGGAGAAGUCUAAUUUGUCAUUUUCCUAUU
rnacentral:pre_miRNA from 1 species